rnacentral:rRNA from 1 species
ACGGGAGGCAGCAUUGGGGAAUAUUGGGCAAUGGGCGAAAGCCUGACCCAGCGACGCCGCGUGAGGGAAGACGAUCUUCGGAUUGUAAACCUCUUUUAUAAAGGACGAAACAAAUGACGGUACUUUAUGAAUAAGCCACGGCUAACUACAUGCAGCAGCCGCGGUAAUACGUAGGUGGCGAGCGUUAUCCGGAUUUACUGGGUGUAAAGGGUGUGUAGGCGGGAUUGCAAGUCAGAUGUGAAAAUUAUGGGCUCAACUCAUAACUUGCAUUUGAAACUGUAGUGCUUGAGGGUCGGAGAGGUAACUGGAAUUCCUGGUGUAGCGGUGAAAUGCGUAGAUAUCAGGAGGAACACCGGUGGCGAAGGCGGGUUACUGGACGAUUACUGACGCUGAGACACGAAAGCGUGGGGAGCAAACAGGAUUAGAUACCCUGGUA